rnacentral:rRNA from 1 species
GACGAACGCUGGCGGCGUGCUUAACACAUGCAAGUGGAGCGACGAACCGGGCUUCGGCCCGGGGCAAAGCCGCGAACGGGUGAGUAUCACGUGGGUAACCUGCCCCGAUGACCGGGACAACCCGAGGAAACUCGGGCUAAUACCGGAUGUGUUCCUCGCACAUCGGUGCGAGGAGGAAAGGAAGCUUCGGCCUCCGCAUCGGGAUGGGCCCGCGGCCCAUUAGCUUGGUGGGGAGGUAAAGGCUCACCAAGGCGACGAUGGGUAGCUGGUCUGAGAGGACGAUCAGCCACACUGGGACUGAGACACGGCCCAGACUCCUACGGGAGGCAGCAGUGGGGAAUAUUGGACAAUGGGCGAAAGCCUGAUCCAGCAAUGCCGCGUGUGUGAAGAAGGCCUGCGGGUUGUAAAGCACUUUAGUGGGGGAGGAAGGCAUUAGUUUUAAUAAAACUGAUGAUUGACGUUACCUCAAGAAUAAGCACCGGCUAACUCUGUGCCAGCAGCCGCCGUAAUAC